AAUAAAAAACACAGGAGUGAAUCACUUAUGUGACGUACUGAAGGACUCACACUGUAAACUGGAGAGAUUGAGGUUAAGAUACUGUGAAAUGACAGAUGAAGGUUGUUCUGCUGUGACUUCAGCUCUGAAAUCAAACCCAUCACACCUGAGAGAACUGAACCUGAGCUGGAAUAAACUCGGAGACUCUGGAGUGAAUCACUUAUGUGACGUACUGAAGGAUUCACACUGUAAACUGGAGAGAUUGUGGUCAGUAACAUUCACAGACACGAAUCAAAAUGAUGAAAAUCACUUUGUUUAACCCUUAAGUGCUGUUCAAGGUCUUUUGAGACCCCUAAUGAUGUUUGCUGAAAUAAAAUAAAAAAAAUGUUCCCUUUAUUUAAAUG